ensembl:lncRNA
GAAGCUCCAGGACCGUCUCAUGUACAGGUUACAAACAGUGAAAGUCGUCCACGAGUGAGUAGCAUCUGUGCGUCCCGAAGCCAGGCCUCUGCUAAGUAUGGAAAGUACCGGAAUCAGCAAUGCAUGGCGAACAGUUUGGUUUUCCUGUCAUUCUUACACGAGGAUGAAUUCAUUACGAGAGCAGAUCUUAACCGUGUGUUGGACAAAGGCCAUGCCAUGCAUUCAGAUGCCAGAAAGAGGUUUGUGAACAGCGUGUUUCUAGCCUGCGAUGAGCUUCCCUCAGUGGUCACCAGCCGCACACACAAGUAUCAAGUGGACAUGUCUCAGUUUGCUCUUUACGGCGCAUUUGAUGGUACAGAUCAUCUUCCGAGCCUUGAACAGGGACUACAGUGUUUGGUUUCAGCGGUUCGCUAUGCUUUGCUAGUCAUGGGAGGAAACGUCAUUGCAGUUUGCAGGCUGACUUCAGGACUUGGAUGAGAAAAGGAUUUAUGCCAAUCCUGAGGUAACUGCAGCGCUCCAAACCAUGAGACAAGCCAGCGUUGAGGAAAUGAUGCCUCUUCUUCAGAGUCUCACCUCCAAGGCUCCUUUGUUGCAGACAGUCUUCAUUUGGACGGCUACACCAUGUUCAAACGCAACAGACAUGUGUCCUACACAAACUUUCCUCACAUGGCCAGCAGAAGUGGUGGUGGAGUUGUUGUGUAUUUGAGGAAUCAUUUUCAGGUUCAGGUAAAACAGUAUCUGCAUAAUGUCACUGAUCUUGAGUUCUUAGUGUUGAAGGUUCAGGCUCC